rnacentral:rRNA from 1 species
UAGGAACAACUGCGUUUCAUUUCGAGAAGAGUGAGGACUGACGCAGAGGGGCUUCGGCUCUACUGUGAUGGGAAUCACUUUAAUCGCAAUGGCUUGAACCGGGCAAAAGUCGUAACAAGGUACCUGUAGGUGAACCUGCAGGUGGAUCAUCG